CGUCUCUCCUUUGGCGCCUUUUCAAAUAAUGUCGCGAGGCAAAGCAGCUCUCUAAACGAAGAAGAAACGCUACCAAAACACCCUGAAGCUAACAGUUUUCUUCAGCAAACACUUAAUGCUACGCUACGGAGACAUUAUGCUCUCAAAUGGACGCCUUACUGCUUUAAUUGACAACUGUUGCUCCGUUUCAUCGUCGUCGACAUCGACUUUGUACUCCCGUUUGUCCGAUUUGAGGGUACAACCUGCGGAGAGAAGGACGUACGGAACCUGUAACUAAUGCCAGGUGUUAGCACAACAAGACGACAAAGACAUGGAGUAAUGUGAGGUCACGCUGACGGACGUGGGACAGAGCCACUGGAAAACGGGAAUGUCUAGUGAUGGUACCGACGGUUGAACCAAUAGGAAAGGACAAAAGGAGGAGAAGGCGGGACAAACGACUGGUACUUCUCCAGUGAAUGAACACUAGAGGGAGCUGUAGUGCUGUGGAUUGAGGAACCCGCCAGGCCCAUGGAGCAGGCCGGGUUGUACACGUUGUUGUAGCCGUUGCUGUAGACGUUGGAGGCGGCCAGCGAGUAGUCCGUGUCCCCGGUCCUGUUCGGCAGCAUGCAGCCGCUGGACUGGUCCGAACUGUUGAGGAUCUGGUCGAUCCCGAAGCUGAUGGGUUCGUGCUGCUGCUGGUGGGUUUGGUUCACCUCCUCGAUGCCGGUGUGCUCCAUACUUUAUCUUAUGCAAUUAUCACAAUUAAUUAUGUUCUUUUUUUUAUAAACAAUAACAAUCAAUGCUCAGUGUUCUCUUCAAAACAAUUUCAAGCAUCCACACCCGCCUCAGUGGUCCACAGGAACAGGUCCAGCGCGUCAGAGGUCCAACAUGUUGCCAUCAUUUGGCGUCCAGCAGCGUGUUGGACUUUAGGAGACUGCAUAUUCCAUCUUCAAGACCAGCCAAAAACACUCACUGACAAAAAUCCUCCCUCUGAGGUGACCGGGUCCCCCCGAGAGCCUGCAUGGGCCCUGAAUGCUGUUGGUGAUGAUCCAGAUCCACGACCAGAACCGAAGCAGCCGCAAAAAGCCAAACCAUGACGCGAUUGACGUGGACUUUAAUUUUGCAGACUAGCGCUGCAAAGCAAGGUGGGAACUUGUGUUGCGUUCAAGUGCAGGUGAGAAGAAGCUCUGCGUAAACGCUGCCAUUCGGUCGUACCCUCCUCCUCAUCUUCAUCCUCCUCCUCCUCCUCCUCGUUGUCUUCAUCAUCCUGCUCCUGGCGAAAGUGGACGUGCUCUCAUCUCUUAAAGGUACAGCAUCUUUUCUUGUUCCUCUGCAGACAUGAUGGAACCAAUUGGGGUGUUUGUGUCUUUUAAUGAUGCUGGAGGCCGACAUCCAGCCAGCUCAUUAUUAAUACUGUCUAGUCUAAUAUUGGCAUUAUUAUUAUUAUUAUUAUGCAUUUCAUUUGGACACACAAAGCCCCUUUAAAACUGCAAUCAUUUGCAAACAAGCAGGUAGAAUUUUCAUAUUUUAUAUUUAUUAUUUUCCUUCCAGUCACAAUGCUGCAGAAAUAGUUUAAUAUUUAUUUGUAUUUAUUUUAUUAUAGUGCAGUAAUACACACUUAGAUUUAUUUUAACCAAAUAAAAAAAAAAAUCAAGAUGUAUCUAUGGAAGUAA